CAAACUUUGAAAGUGCCCUCUGGUGGCCAUGGCUCUACACUGCACCCACAUAAUCGCUUAGCCUCUGUAAAAGGAGGGGACUAGAAAUGGGAGAAUCUUCCUCACUUAGGGUGACUGGUGGAUUUGUGGAAGGACUGGAAAAGAUCAGGGUCAUGGGGAGUGCGUUCUGGGAGCACUGAACAACGGGAGGGAGGAACAGGGUGUGUGUGAAACAUCAUAAGAGAGUCUGUCAUUCAUUCAUUCGAGAAAUGCUUGUGUAUUACUAGGACCACAGAUACCGUGCCUAGACUCAAGGAACUCUCAGUUUGGAGGAAAGCUGAGAAAAGAUGAGAAAACCAACAAUUUAUAUAUACGGAGAUUAAAAGCCAGCAUCGUUUUUGAAGUUUCAGGAGCUCCAGGAACCCCAGAAUUUCUUUGCACAGCAUUGGAAGGAAAUAUUCAAAUCCUGAAAUUCUGUCCCAGUGGAGGAAACAAUAGUGCCCUUGAACAACUCUAAAUUGGCCACUGUGGCAAGGAUGUGUUGCUGGAGGGAAAUCCCUGCCUGGGAAAACAGCCCGGAGGAUGGGCCUGGACUCCCUUUUCGGAGGUACUGUUUGAUAUCCAGGUAUACCCUGUGGGGUGGGUGGGUAGGAC
rnacentral:lncRNA from 1 species